rnacentral:rRNA from 1 species
UACAGAGGUGGCAAGCGUUGUUCGGAAUUAUUGGGCGUAAAGGGCUCGUAGGCGGCCAACUAAGUCACACGUGAAAUCCCUCGGCUCAACCGGGGAACUGCGUGUGAGACUGGAUGGCUUGAGUUUGGGAGAGGAAUGCGGAAUUCCAGGUGUAGCGGUGAAAUGCGUAGAUAUCUGGAGGAACACCGGUGGCGAAGGCGGCAUUCUGGACCAACACUGACGCUGAGGAGCGGAAGCCAGGGGAGCAAACGGG